GUGCUCACCUUGGGGAGCACAUGCACUAAAAUUGGGAUGAUCCAGAGAAGAUCAGCGUGGCCCCUGUGCAAGGAUGACACGCAAAUUCAUGCAGUGCUCUGGAUUUUU
rnacentral:snRNA from 1 species